rnacentral:rRNA from 1 species
GCAUAUAUUAUAAGAGGUCUUACCUGCCCAGUGACGCAAGUUUNAACGGCCGCGGUAUUUUGACCGUGCAAAGGUAGCGUAAUCAAUCGUCUUUUAAAUGGAGACCUGUAUGAAUGGUGAAACGAAAACUCAACUGUCUCAUUCUUUUAACCAAUGAAAUUGUUUUUUCCGUGCGGAAGCGGGAAUAAAUCCAUAAGACAAAAAGACCCUGUGGAGCUUUAGACUUCUGCUUACAUCUUAGAUUGGGGCGAUCACGGAGAAAACAUACCCUCCCUGAAGAAAUUCAUAAUUAAGAGCUACCGCUCUAAAUAUUAAAAUAUUUGACUUUAUGAACCGGCUCGCCGAUUAACGAACCCAGUUACCCCAGGGAUAACAGCGCAAUCCCCUUAAAGAGCACUUAUCACCAAGGGGGUUUACGACCUCGAUGUUGGAUCAGGACAUCCUAAUGGCGCAUCCACUAUUAAGGGUUCGUUUGUUCAACGAUUAAAGUCCU